GGAAGUAAAAGUCGUAACAGGGUUUCCGUAGGUGAACCUGCGGAAGGAUCAUUAAUGAGUUGUCAUGGGGUUCGAUGCUGGCAGCCAAUUUUUGGAUGCAUGUGCUUGCCCUAACAAACAUCUUCCAAACACCUGUGCACAUUUUUGAGGGAGUCUUGAGUUGGUUGCCGCUCUUGGGUGAUUUUCUCACAUUCCCUUAAAUCAUUAUACGCUAUUAACAAUGUUGAACGUGCUCUGUGCCGCAAGGCUAUUAAUAUAAUACAACUUUUAACAACGGAUCUCUUGGCUCUC
rnacentral:misc_RNA from 1 species